GGUUUGUCAGAAUCACCGUCGACAAAGGCGCUUUUCACUUUAGACGUGAAAGUUCUCAUCGGAAAUAGAGAACGCAAAAAUUACACUCACGUAGGAAGAGGGAGAGUGAAAGGGUCACAGAGGGGCUGGUGUUUGUCUCCAGCAGUCAUUGGAAGAAAGCCAUGUGUUUUUACUCAGUCCUACAUACCACUGGUCUGCCUUCCUCACAUUUCAGAAACAGACGGUUCUUCACAGCUCAGGGCGAACCUGAGAGCCCAUCUUAUCACUUCAGUCUCAGACUCUACUGUGUGCCAUUGUGUCGACUUAAUAAUCACUGAAUCUCACACAGCGAUGUGGGUUUUUGGUGCUAAUGGCCAGAACCUGGUACUUGAAGUAGCAGAGCUCGCAGCUCCAGGAGCCUCUCUCACUGAUCCAGCGGAUGAGGCAGGACUGCAACUAUUCAAAAUGGGAAAAAGAGAAGAAACCCUGUUAUAAAGGAGGAGGUGAGCAGCUUGUGGGAAUCCUUUGUUUCUCCGCGGUGGCAUCCAUGAACUCCCCUGCUGUUUCUGCGGACUUUGUCCC